GCGGAGGUCAUUACUGAAUUGUCAACAAGAGUUGUUGCUGGUCCUCAAUGGGGGCAUGUGCACGCUCUGUUCACACAUCCACUCACACCUGUGCACCCUCUGUAGUUCUAUGGUCGGGGGGGCCUGUCCCUCCCACCAGGGUUCUGCGUUUUUACCACACACACUGAAACAAAGUCUCAGGAAAGGGGAACCGCGUUUAACGCAUUACAAUACAACUUUCAGCAACGAAUCUCUGGCUUCUCGCAUCGAUGAAAAACGCAGCGAAAUGCGAUAAGUAAGGUGAAUUGCAAAAUUCAGUGAAUCAUCGAAUCUUUGAACGCACCUUGUGCCCUUUGCCCAUUCCGAAGGCCAUGCCUGUUUGAGUAUCAUGACCACCUCAACUCUUCAUGGUUUCCAUGAUGAGCUUGAACUUUGGGGGUCUUGCUGUCCUGUGGGUCGCUUCCUCUCAAAUGAAUCAGCUUGCCGGUUUUUGUGGGGCAUCACAGGUGUGAUAACUAUCUACGCUGGUGGUUUCCACCAGGGAAACCUUCAGCAGGGAAGGUUCACUGAAGCUUACAAAUGUCUCUCCUCUGUGAGGACAGCCCUUUGAAUGUUUGAUCUCAAAUCAGGUAGAACUACCCGCUGAACUUAA
rnacentral:rRNA from 1 species